GAUGAACGCUAGCUACAGGCUUAACACAUGCAAGUCGAGGGGCAGCAUGAACUUAGCUUGCUAAGUUUGAUGGCGACCGGCGCACGGGUGAGUAACACGUAUCCAACCUGCCGAUGACUCGGGGAUAGCCUUUCGAAAGAAAGAUUAAUACCCGAUGGCAUAGUUCUUCCGCAUGGUAGAACUAUUAAAGAAUUUCGGUCAUCGAUGGGGAUGCGUUCCAUUAGGUUGUUGGCGGGGUAACGGCCCACCAAGCCUUCGAUGGAUAGGGGUUCUGAGAGGAAGGUCCCCCACAUUGGAACUGAGACACGGUCCAAACUCCUACGGGAGGCAGCAGUGAGGAAUAUUGGUCAAUGGACGAGAGUCUGAACCAGCCAAGUAGCGUGAAGGAUGACUGCCCUAUGGGUCGUAAACUUCUUUUAUACGGGAAUAAAGUGAGGCACGUGUGCCUUUUUGUAUGUACCGUAUGAAUAAGGAUCGGCUAACUCCGUG
rnacentral:rRNA from 1 species